ensembl:lncRNA
UGUGAUUUGGAGGCAUUUUCAAGGAAAGGAUUAAGAAAGAAUGAUUUUUUAAUAGCAUAAAGACAAGCCAAGAGAGGCAUGUGCUCUCUGUGACCUAAUGAAUAUUCCUUCCUUUCUCUCACAAAGCUCAAAGCCUGUAAUUGGCUCAUCAGGGUACAAAGUGUACACUCGGGCUUGGAUUGUGGGGGACAGAAACUUCCCAUGUGACUCCAUCUCCUCAAUGGGGAUGUCUGUGUUCCCACACUUGUUCAGAAACAUGUUCUGCCAUUCACAGACUCAUAGAGGGGAGCCAUUUAGGCUUGAUGUCAGGAAAAGAGGUAAAAACAACUUCCUAACAAUGAGAAGCAUACAAAAGGGAAAUCGACUACCUGGGGUAUGGUGGAGGCUGAGUGGGAGAGGAAAGGCAAAAUCUUGGCCUCUCUUUUACUGGAGGUCUUCAAUCAGAGGUUAGAGAAGCGGGGAAUGGAGAGGGGCAUGUGGGAAGAAGGAUUUUUUUUAAUAUAUGGACUAGACAAGGUAGCCAUGGAGAAACUUCCUAACCUUAUGAAGCUAUGGUUACAUUAUAGAAUAUAAGAGAUGGUAGGAAUGUAGAAUCUAGAGAACAGUGAAUGUCAGUGUUGAGAGAAGCCUUAGAACAGAGAAUGUCAGAACUCUGUGGAGCCUUAGAACAUAGGAUGUCAGAGUUGGGAGAGUCAUGUUAGAACAGAGAAUAUCAGGGUUGGGGGAUGGACCUUAGAACAGGUAAUAAGAGAACUACAGGGGCCUGAGAACAGAGGAUAUCAAGACAGAAAGAGACCUUUUGGAGGUAACAUUUGGAUGUAACAAUGUGCUCCGGUCAUUGAAGAAGCCAUUUUUUGUAGGAACAAUGACAGAGGAUGACCAUGAACAAGGAACUUUUAUGGAAUUGCAGAAUUUUAGAACUGGAAGAACCCCAGGAGGUCAUACAACAACAAGAAGAAGCAUUUUAAUUAGCACUUUAAAACUUCAGAGCAAGUUACAUAGACUAUCUCAUUUGACACUUCUAAUGACCCUACAAGAAAGGAGUUUACAAAAAUGCAAGAGGAAGAUGCAAGAUCAAAAUUCCAUUUGGAAUUCCAAUUACCUGGGACUGGACAGGAAGAGACAGGGCCAAUCACAGCUUCCAAAUUGUCUAGCACUGACCAGGGGGAAGAAGACCAUCCAAGAGAGACUAGAUCAGCUAGAAUAUGCCAAGCUUUUGAGUCUGAGAUGCAAGCCAAGGGGAGUGCAUGGAAUGAAAAAUGAAGGCCUUCAUUUUUGUGAUCACCCUUCCUCUGGGCUUAAGGAAGGCAGCCCACCAUGUUUUUAUCUUCAUCUGCAGAUGAAUUUAAAAUAUGCUGCUUAGGAUGUGGAGAGAUAUGAAUGUGCAUCCCACUUCAGCUGCCUGAUGGAUAUGUAAAAUGAAUGUGGCCCUUAUGAUCUCCUAGAAUCCUUAUUCCAAGUCACAGUCAUUGAAGAGUCAGAGCUCCUAGCAAGGAUAUACCUCCUCAGAGUUUGGGGACAAUACUGCGGGCAGAGGUGAUGUUUUUCUUUUUUUAAACUUUAUUAUCAUAGUUACAGCUCUAAGACAGAAGGGCAAAGGCUAGGUAAAUAGGGUUAAGUGACUUUCCCAGGGUAACACAGCUAGAAGUAUCUGAGGCCCAUGGUCUAUCCACUGUCACCUAGCUGCCUCUAUCUUUCUAAGAAUGCCAUCAGCUCACACCCUUAUUGUGAUAUGUUCUUUCCCAUGCCAAUUGUUGUGGACUAGUGCCCUGGUUUCACCUGACCAAUUAACAUCAGUUCACUUUUACUAAGUUAUAUUUCCUUCGAAGAUACAGCAAGAAUAGAAGUGCAAAGUAUUGCCUUGAACUAGGGCAUAUUUUCCCCUCCAUGACCUCAGUCUCUGGGAAGAGUGGGAUGAAAGCAGUUACUACAAAGCAUUUAUCCUACCCCAUUUACUUCUAAAUGUGGCAUACAUGAUGGAUAAGUAGUUGUGGCUCCCUCUAGGCUGGCUUAAAUAUACUUUCUCACUAGAUUAUGCAGGUUGCUGAAGACUUUGCUUCCAAUCAGGCUUAGCUGUUCAUAAAAUCAGGGAUGCACUCCAGUUCCUAGACCUCCGGUGGCUCCAUCUCACAAUCUAGAAAUCUCCCAAGGUCAUAGCCUAAUCUGAUGAUCUUCUACCUAAAAGAAGGAAAAAAUAAGUGCAAAGAGACAAUGAAAGGAGGCCCAUAUACACAGAAUACAUGCAGGUCUGGGUAGGGAGAUUAAAAUCUGCCUGAGGUGUUCCUUUCUAACCAGAGUUUACAACAUAUAUUUCUUGACUCACAACCAAGAAGAAAAGAGCCCUACCAUCCAGUUAGUGUAUUU